rnacentral:rRNA from 1 species
UACGUAGGUGGCGAGCGUUGUCCGGAAUUACUGGGUGUAAAGCGCGUGUAGGCGGCAGGCCAAGUCGGUGGUGAAAGCGCCCGGCUCAACUGGGCGAGGUCCAUGGAAACUGGUCAGCUGGAGGACGGUAGAGGCGAGUGGAAUUCCCGGUGUAGUGGUGAAAUGCGCAGAUAUCGGGAAGAACACCUAUGGCGAAGGCAGCUCUCUGGGACGGUACUGACGCUGAGACGCGAAAGCGUGGGGAGCGAACAGG